UCCCACUGGAGGAUGUUCAAUUCGGAUGUAAGGAUAAACCACUCUCCAUUACAUUGGAUGAGUACGUUACCUAGCAUCACUGGAGCGCUAGAGGACUAGUGCUGCUUCCAACAUUCACAUCUAGACGGUCGGAAGGGAUCCUCCAUGCGUCAUUUCCCCUCAGUACUUAUUCGCGAUUCGAAUAUAGAUCACUUGCGUGGAAGUGAAGGCCCAUUCCAAAGAGAGGAAGGAAAGAUAAGAGAAGGGAAAGGAGAAGCAGGGGUGGAAGGGAAGGUUUUCUAUGCUGCAGGCUUGUGCAUCAGGCCUGGAAGCAGGCUUGCAUUUUGCAAGAGAUUGUAGGAGGUUGCAAAUAAAAGCCAAGCACCUUUCAGAUUGCAGGGGGAAUUGAAACACUGAACGUGAGUAUUACAUUGUAACGCUAGAGUGUUGGUAAGCGAACCUCUCAUCGCUUGUGCUUCUCCAUCGAUGGCACUAGGCGGCA
rnacentral:lncRNA from 1 species